CUUCUUAAGAUUUUUCAGGUACCCCUC
rnacentral:piRNA from 1 species